AAAAAAAACAACUCAGGCUGUCUGAUAGCAUUCAUUUUAAACUUAAUCCUUUUUUUUUUGUUACAUGUAAGUAAAAUUAGGGACUACCUUUUGUUGUGGGGGGCAUAUGAUCUCAAAUAAAGGAAAACUCGCCUAAAACGUCUUUUUAAUUUUAUGAUCUUUACAUUAAGUUUUGAAAGCAAAUCGAUUUUUUUUGUUAAACGAAGAAUAUGUAAAAAAGAUAAACUCAUUCCCACCUUAAUAUUUGGCAGGAUCCUUCAAUCGUAUACAUACACCAUAUGUCAGACAGUGUUUUAAUUUGACAGUCUGAUUGAUGCGGUCUAUGCAGGGAGUGAAGCAGAGAAGACCAUAGAGACUAACUGUUUACAAACAGUCUGACCCAAGGUGUGUUUAUAUGGAUCCUAUCAAAUACCAAAAGUAGGGAUGUUUUUUUUUUUUUUUAAAUACUUUAUUUAACAAAAUUGCUUUCCUUUCAAAACUUGAUGAAUUAUGUUGAAAAUACUUUUCAGGUGACAGUUUUUU